rnacentral:rRNA from 1 species
AUGUCCACCUCCGCUGCACCCAUCCAAUCCAGCCUCAACUACAACACCUCUGAGCCACUUACCCGGACGAAUUAUGUCCUUUGGAAAGCCCAAGCAAGAUCCCAGCUAAUGGGCGCCGACUUGUAUGGCUACAUCAACAACACCAUUGAGGAGCCUCCCAAGAUCAUCACCACCAAAGACAAAGACGGCAAGGAUCAGGUCAUCCCCAACCUUGCCUAUGCCCCCUGGCUUGUCCAGGAUCAACAAAUUGCUGCUUACCUCUUGCGCAAUCUGUCCAAGGAGGUUCUCGUCCAGGUUGCAUCUCUUGAGACAUCACAAAGUGAGAUGAAUCUGAUCAUUGCGGCAACACAGCCAGCGAGCCGACGCACGUCUUUGAUCCGCUUAGGUGCCUCAAUCUGCUCGAUGACCUUGAUCUUGUCUGGGUUUGCCUCAAUCCCACGCUGCGACACAAAGAACCCGAGAAGCUUGCCAGACGGAACACCGAAGACACACUUCUCGGGAUUCGACUUGAGGUUGAUCUUACGCAGAUGGGGCUCAAACCAAUUUGGACUGCUCUUGCAAAUGUCGAGCCAGCACUCUUCAACCCGAAAGGCAUCCAUAAAAAGCAAUACGUACCAUAUGGGGUGA